CGGGAGAAGGCACGCUGACACGUAGGUGAAGUGAUUUACUCAUGGAGCUGAAGUCAGUCGAAGAUACCAGCUGGCUGCAACUGUUUAUUAAAAACACAGCACUGUGCAAACACGAAAGUGGACGUAUACGGUGUGACGCCUGCCCGGUGCCGGAAGGUUAAUUGAUGGGGUCAGCGCAAGCGAAGCUCCUGAUCGAAGCCCCGGUAAACGGCGGCCGUAACUAUAACGGUCCUAAGGUAGCGAAAUUCCUUGUCGGGUAAGUUCCGACCUGCACGAAUGGCGUAAUGAUGGCCAGGCUGUCUCCACCCGAGACUCAGUGAAAUUGAACUCGCUGUGAAGAUGCAGUGUACCCGCGGCAAGACGGAAAGACCCCGUGAACCUUUACUAUAGCUUGACACUGAACAUUGAGCCUUGAUGUGUAGGAUAGGUGGGAGGCUUUGAAGCGUGGACGCCAGUCUGCAUGGAGCCGGCCUUGAAAUACCACCCUUUAAUGUUUGAUGUUCUAACGUGGACCCGUGAUCCGGGUUGCGGACAGUGUCUGGUGGGUAGUUUGACUGGGGCGGUCUCCUCCUAAAGAGUAACGGAGGAGCACGAAGGUUGGCUAAUCCUGGUCGGACAUCAGGAGGUUAGUGCAAUGGCAUAAGCCAGCUUGACUGCGAGCGUGACGGCGCGAGCAGGUGCGAAAGCAGGUCAUAGUGAUCCGGUGGUUCUGAAUGGAAGGGCCAUCGCUCAACGGAUAAAAGGUACUCCGGGGAUAACAGGCUGAUACCGCCCAAGAGUUCAUAUCGACGGCGGUGUUUGGCACCUCGAUGUCGGCUCAUCACAUCCUGGGGCUGAAGUAGGUCCCAAGGGUAUGGCUGUUCGCCAUUUAAAGUGGUACGCGAGCUGGGUUUAGAACGUCGUGAGACAGUUCGGUCCCUAUCUGCCGUGGGCGCUGGAGAACUGAGGGGGGCUGCUCCUAGUACGAGAGGACCGGAGUGGACGCAUCACUGGUGUUCGGGUUGUCAUGCCAAUGGCACUGCCCGGUAGCUAAAUGCGGAAGAGAUAAGUGCUGAAAGCAUCUAAGCACGAAACUUGCCCCGAGAUGAGUUCUCCCUGAGACUUAGAGUCUCCUGAAGGAACGUUGAAGACGACGACGUUGAUAGGCCGGGUGUGUAAGCGCAGCGAUGCGUUGAGCUAACCGGUACUAAUGAACCGUGAGGCUUAACCUUACAACGCCGAAG
rnacentral:rRNA from 1 species